rnacentral:misc_RNA from 1 species
AAAGUUCCUACUGUGUGUUACUUUAUACAAUUUUCAAUAUAUUACUUUGGUUUAAAGCCUAUCUGGAAUUGAAUUGGGAUUUGUUUUACUUUUCUUUUUGCUUGAGGACUUCGAAUGAUUCAGAGUCAUUAGAAACAAGCUUUGAAAAGAAAAACCGCCAGACUAGUGAAUUUGUUUGGCUGACUUAGAGAUUUUAAAAAUUACAAGAUAAGCUUAAUUUUCUCAAUAGGUUAGAGUUUUUGAUAAGGUUUCUUUAAAUUUGUUAAUUGACUCUGUAUUGAUACAAAUCUUACUGAUUUUUGCUAUGGACAAGGGAAUAAAAUUAAUAAAGAAAUAUUCUCCGCUUGCUCAAAUAACAGAAGAAAAGCAAGCGAAAUUUGAAGAUGAACUCUAUGACGUAUCGACCGAAAAUAAGCCAAGCAUUAAAGAUUUACUCUCUUAUGGAAACGUUCUUAAACCGGAAUUAUUGAAUGAAAAAGGUUCGAGUGGCAGCUCUCCUGGAGAGUCUGCAAUCAAUGAAGCAUUUCGUCAUUUAUCAAAUGUUAUCUCUGAACAUUAUAGCAAUGAUGAAUCGAAUUUGGAACACUUGAAACCUCUUUAUAAAGAUUUAAUGAAUCUUAUAACAACUGCUUAUGAAGGAAACUAUGUAACGUCUGGAAAUUGUGACGCAAUUAGAACCAUACUUCAAUUUGACUAUUAUAGUGACUAUAUUGAGAAAGAAGUAACAGUAGAUGAUAUUAGACGUUUGAUGAGAGGAAUUUGUCGUGACUUCAAACCUAGGGAAAAUGACACAACCUUGACUACAUGGAAAAACGAUGUAUACUAUCCUUUGGGUGAGAUCAUCGGCUGUGUAAAAUUCGAAGUGCUUAGAAAGUGUAAAGCUGAAAUAAUUCACGGAUUACUAUUUUGGGCAGAGACAGGUAUGAAGUAUAAGGAAGAUGACGACUCUGUUGAACAUUUUAUACAGUUUACGAAUCUUAUGAGUAGUGUUUUCGAAACUGCUUGCAAUUCAAUGCUUGAUGAUGAGAAGGGAGCACUUUUAUUUAUGGACAUUGAUGACAAAACAUUCGAUUCAUUUUUAUCAAGAGCAGACAAAAUACUCUCAAAUAAAGACUUUCCUCCAAAUCGUUAUCCCGAAGAUAACAUGCAACUUCUUGUACAAAAUUGCCUUACAAGCUUUAUCCAAGAAAGUAAUGAUUCAAAGAUGUUAGGAAAAGUCUAUGGUUUAUACAAUAAAUUUGCUUCGUCAAGCAAUGGAAAAGCUUUUGAUAUAGUAGAAGAUAUGAAGACGACGUUUCAAGAAAAGCUAUCAUUAAUUGAUUUUGAAGCUAUUGGAAUGAAAAGUGCCCUUGACCAAUUCUUAGACGAUUUACGAGCAAUAGAAAAUGAAAAUCAAGUCUCUCUUGUACGGGAUAAGUACGAAAAGAGUUACGCGAAGGAGUAUCUUCCGAAAUUAAAGAAAGAUAUUAACAAAUUGAAGGAAUUUAUUCAAAUUUUGAUAGAAAAUCCCUAUUAUGGCAUAUGCAGGGAAUAUUUUGACGACCAUGUUACACAAAAGAAACUAUUCACUUUUAAAGAAAAUCCGGAAAUACUUAAUUUCAUUUUUGAUUUAAUGUAUAAAUCAAAGUAUGAAUAUAAUGAAAGAUUUAAGAGUGCUUAUGAUAUAAUAGGCCAAAGUUGUGUCCAGUUACUUGAAAAGGAAAAAUUAUUGACAAAACGGAAAAAAGAUCUAUUAGAUAUUUUGGAACGAUGCUUCGAAGUACCCAAACACCCUUAUCAUUCUGCUUGCAGCAAUCUACUGUACCAUGUCGAAUGGAAAGGAGAGAUCGAGAGAUAUUCUAGAAUUGUUAAAAAGCUGAGAGUUCAUGUGGAAAAAGAGAAUUCAUAUAUAGAAAAGGAUGAUGUUAUAGUUCGUAUAACUUCACAAGUAACUGAAUAUGUUAACUAUCACAAUGGAAAAAAUAAAAAAUUUAUUGAAUACGCUGACUCGUUUGCUGAUCUUUUUAAAUACUGCGUUAAGUUAUCGUGGCUUUACGAUUCUGAUGAUAAGAUUGUUAAUGAUAGAGAUUUGGAUGAGGAUGAGAGGAGAACGCUCGCUGGAACAAUUCUCAUUAAACUUAUGACCAAUAUCUACGAACCGAAUAACGACUUCAAUGAUUUUGUACAACCAAUUGUCGAAACGUUAAAGAAGCUGAAAAAACAAGACGACGAUGAACAGAUACAAGAGUGUGCCAAGAACUUAGUAAGUGAACUAACUGAUCAAAUGGAACUUCUUGGUGAUGAAGCAGGAGAAGAUAUAAUUGAAGAGUUUUUGAAUGAUCGUGAGAUAUCUCAAUUAGAUCGAAUAGCCAGCAUGUAUCCAUCCUGUCAAGUCAAGAUACACGAAAGCUUAGAAGAGAUACUAGAUAUCGCAGAAGAAAAUGGAGAUGUAGGAAUGAUCACUUUACAAACCUUAUUGAAUAAAAUUGCCGACAAUGAUCCCAAACAAAUAACAAAAAAAGUAUUUGACUAUGUCAUGAGCAUAUUAGACACAAACUUUGGAACUGCAUAUUUCUUUUUCUUACAAAAACUGGCUCCAAAAAGACCUCAGUUGUUUGAUAAUUACCACACCAGAAUCAAUGAUCUCAUUAGACAAGGCGAACACGGUAAUGUCUUUUUACAACUACUGCCGGACUUGUCCCGAACAAAAGAACUAGCUCAAACAAAUGCCAAGCUGACAUGGGAGAUAUGUCAAAAAAAUGAUCCAACUUACGCGAUAAGUGCUUAUUAUACACUACGAUCCAUUGCCCUACGAUUUAAAGAGACUGUUGAGGAGUAUAAACCUCAAUUGGAAAAACUAAAAGACGACCCAAAAUUACGAGAUAGCAUAAUGUCAAUUCUUGACGUAUUGGAAGGAAGGACGUUAGAAACUGUAGCAAAUGAUGUUGAAGAACAAAGAGAAGAUAUUGAUAAUUUAGAUUCCAGAGUUACGAAUAAUGAAGAUAAAAUUGAAAAUCUUGAUAAUGAUGUCAGAGAAACUAAAGAAGACGUCGCCAAUGUUAAACAAGAUGUCAAAGAAACUAAGGAACGCAUUGAUCAAAUUGAAUAUACAAUCAAAGGACUCGAUGAAAGAGUUGAAGAACUCAGUCAUAUGACUCUUUCACAUGCUCCCGCUUGGACUCGUCAUGUUUCCGAAUUAAUGAAUGAUCAAACCGAUCACGAUUGGAGACUCUUAGCUAUGAAACUCAAUUAUACAAACGACGAUAUACGAAAUUGGGCUACUCAACCAGAUCCUUGUCUAUCGAUGUUUGAUGAAUGGUUUGCUACUCACAAAACAAGAGAAGCUACAAACGCCAUUUUAACUAAUCUGAAAGAAAUGAACAGAUUAGACGCUGCUGAAAUUGUGGAAAGUGCACUUGCAAAUGUGAAAGAUGUUGUUCAAGAUGACGAAGAUGAAGAGUUUGAGAAACCAGAAGUGUUUCUCAGCUAUCAAUGGGGACAUCAACAAGAAGUGAAACUUCUGCGUAAACACUUGGAGAUGGCCGGAUUCAAGGCAUGGAUGGACAUUGGCCAAAUGGGUGGAGGUGACAAAUUAUACGCCAAAAUCGAUGAUGGUGUUCGUUCAGCCAAAGUGAUUAUCAGUUGUGUAAGUGAGAAAUAUGCAAAAUCCGCAAAUUGCUGUAGAGAAGUUAACUUGUCAACAAAUCUUGGAAAACCAAUGAUACCAAUACUCAUGGAACAAUUAUCGUGGCCUCCUGCAGGUCCGAUGGGACCAAUCAUGUCUGAAUAUUUGUAUAUUAGGUUCUUCAAGUCUGGUGGAAUGGAAAAAGGCGACUCUGUAUUUUGGUUGCCAGCAAAAUUUCAGGAACUUCUCAUGCAAGUUCGAUACUUCGUCGUACCAGAUAUGAAACUCAUUACGAAUGAUUCUCCUUAUAAAGGAUGGAUGAAUCCACCGGAAGAAGAAAUCAUCAUUCCGAAACGAGAACAAAAGGCCAUUGAAUCAAGCAAUGGGAAAUCGGAAGAGAACACGGAACAAGAAGUUUCGCCAGAUGUCUUUAUAUCUUAUCAAUGGGGAAAACAACCACAAAUUAAACGUCUAUAUAAAAAGCUUAGUGAAAUGGGCUAUUACUGUUGGUUAGAUAUCAUGCAGAUGGGAGGAGGAGAUUCUCUUUUUGAUAAAAUUGAUAAGGGAAUCAGAGGAGCAAAAGUGAUAAUAUCAUGUGUUACUCCAAAGUAUGCAUUGAGUGCGAAUUGUCGAAGAGAAGUUUCAUUAUCAGGAGCAUUGAGUAAGCCAAUUGUUCCUUUAUUAUUAGAAGACAUGAAAUGGCCACCAGAAGGACCAAUGUCGAUGACAUUUACGGAGCUUUUAUACAUUGGAUUUCACAGAAAGAAAGACGAUAAGUUGUGGGAGGGUGAUGAAUUUAAUCAAUUAAUUUCAAAAAUUGACCUGAAUGCACCAGGAUGUCGAAUGAUUUCGGAGGCAGCGGAAACGAAGGAAAGUAGUAAAACAGCAAAAGAUGAUGAAGAGGCCGCUCGUAAAAGAAAAUUGGAAGAGGAAAAUAAGCAAAAAGAGUUGGAGAAGGAAAAUGCGAAAAGAAUUGAAGAAGAAAGAAGGAAGGAGGCUGAAGAAAGGAAGAAACUGGCUGAAGAAAAACGGAAACAAGAGGAAGAAUCAAAGAGAAAGCAAGAAGAAGAUAGGAGUAAAAAAGAUGAAAAUAAGAGUGCUCAACCGCGAGCAAAGAAAUCAUCAAUGUGUACCUUACUCUGA